rnacentral:lncRNA from 12 species
UGCGGCUCCUGAAUCCUCAUCGAGGAGGCAUGCGAUCCAAAUAGCGCUUGAAAAGUGUUGGAGGCCGGUUAAACCUCAGAGAGGUGUGGUGCUGCUUGCGUUUGCACAAACAAUGGAGUGAAGAGUGUUGUGUGGGAUUAGAGCACAUUGUCAAUGGUUUAGUAGGUUGUUCAGUGUUUUCCUGAGCUGAGCUGCACACGCAGCCUCGUCUUCUCCUGCGAGUUGGAGCCAGAUCUGCUGGUUUGGAAGGGGGUUGUGGGUGUGUAUGUGACACAUCAUUGGCUUGGGCUGCACAUACAAUCAGUCUCAUCAUUGUAAACCAGCAUGUAACCACGCAUUGGGCUGAUAACUACAUCCAACACACAAUUCCUUCAUGUUCUUUUUCUUGGAGUAACAAGCCAAUGCGUGCAGAUUUCCAGCAGUCUUUUGUAGACGAAAGUGUUUCUUCUAGUUCAUUGGGCAUUGGUGAAGGCACACAGCACUUUGACUGUGUGAAGAAUUACAUGCUGGAGCAUCUCGCAUGAUGAAAAAGAUUGAUUGCACAGUGGCAGACUCUCCAGGGACUGUGAGUGCAUUUUAGUACUUCUGUACCUUCACUGUACAAAGUGUAAAUGAGGAAUAAAUCCCAUAAUGUGAAUCUUGGGAAUUGGGGUGAAGCAAUUUUAUUAUGUUCCACUAAUUUGUCAUAGAGAAAGCCUGUCGGCUGUAGAACAGCCAUCAGAGCCUGCGUUCUUACAGUAUGUUCACUACUCUCGCUUUUUUUUUUAAUUGCAAUCAUUCUUUGCCUCUGAGGUUUGAUGAAUCAUUCUAGGAGCUCUGGGUGAUGCAUGUAAUAUUCAAGACUUUUUGCAAGGAAAAAUGAUUUGCAGCAAAGUUUAAAGGCAAAUGCUGAUAAAUAAAGCAGAAUAAAUGCUGAUGAAAUGCACCUUUGAUUUGACUCAUUACAGAACAGCGGCACCAGAAGCAAUUACACUGCCUCAUUUAAAGUCAAAAUGAUAUCAAAGGGACUCCAUUUACUUUCUCAAUACACAGUAUUAUUGUGAAUGAUUCACCAGUGCAUACAUGCUAUUCC